UUUAUUUUCUUGUAAUAAUGCUCAUAUGCUAGCUUAUGCAUCAGAGGAAAGAUGAAAAUAAUAAAUAUCUCAUGCAUCUGAUGGUAAUGUUGUAAUGGAUCCUAGCUCUUGUCUAUGUAUAGUCAAAUUCCAGUGACCUUCAUUUGAAUUAUCUCCUUCCAGAAUUACUUAUGUCACCUUUCUCUGUUGUUCACAUUAUUAUGUAAUCGGUUACUGUGUACUAGAGAAGGCAUACUUAACUUCAGUAUUAACUCAGAAAAAUAUUUGGGAGAUCAUUCAUAUGACCUUGGACAAGUCAUUAAUUGGCAACUUCUCUGAUCUUCAGUUUCCUCAUCUGUAAAAUUAGGAGGUUGGACUAAACAACCUUAAAGGUCCCUUUCAGCCCUAGAUCUGUGGUCCCAUAACCUGGAACUAUUUAUACUUGGAUGCUUUAAAACUGCCUCCCUUACUACAUAUUGCCCCUCCUCCCAAUGCCUUUCUGUUCUGUGGAAUUUUCCUUCCUGUAAUUUCAUAAAUUUUUUAAUCACUCACCAUCUCAAAACUAAAUAUGAUCCUUGAAUAUCUGGUCAAGCACCACCUGGUUGUUCAGGAGGGCUUUUUUGUAGUCUCCCCAUAGCUGCUAUUGUUAACUCUUUAAAGUUAUUUUCCAUUUACUCUGUAUUUAUCUCUUAUGUUCUGAAUUAUAUACAUUGUCUUCCACUUUUAAAAUAUAAGCUUCUUGAGGGCAGGGACCAUUAUAUUUUUUUGUUUGUGUCCUCAGCCUUGGCAUAGUGCCUGGCAUAUAGUAAGUCCUUAACAAAUACUUGUUGAUCGAUCUGCUGUAAUCUUUCCUCCAUCAGCAUGAACAAUUAAAAAUUGACUCUUUUCCAAACAUGAAUUGAAUGGUGUUGAGAAAUGCCAGAAUGUGGACAGCUUUGAUGACUCAUUCAACACAAAAGUCUGAAUUACCCCAGCAAAAAAAAAAAGACUGUCCUGAAAACAUUGCCAUAGGAAGAGAAUCACAGAAUUCUUUGUUGUGCCCAUUCUCCCUGGGCUUCUGCUGAGACUCAGCUAGAUAACUGGGUCAGAAAUGCAAAUAUUAUGUCACCAAAUGGUAAUGACUUCAGGACUGAGGUAAAAAAGUAAUUGUUCCAUUAGCCAAUUUUGCUAAUAGUCUCUUGGCUCAUUCCUCAAGAACAAGUAUGAAUAAUGUGUUCCAGUAAUUGAGAAUUCAGGUUACAUUUAAAAAAAACUUGUUUUCUCUGUUUGGAGAGGGAGAGGAAAGGGCUCUGCAAAAAUUUACACAGGUAUUAAAAACAUUCUUGCAAGUGUACCUCACUGUGCACAAUGUAUUUCUAAAAAGCUAUGUUUAAACUGAUUUUUUUUUGUAAAUCCAGUUAUUUAAAAUAUUGUAUAUGGGGGGUAUAUAGAGAAGGGCUUGUUAUUUAAAUUUUAUGGUGAAUUCCUUUUUGUAAAGCAUUCUUUUGUAAAAACGAAUAACCACUCUAAUUUUUAAAAUCUGGGCUUUCCUGGUUUUGUAAAUCUUGAUUUUCAUAUCUCAGUUUGCUUAAAGUGGAAUGUACCUGUAUUUGUAUUGCUUGAUAUAUUUUAUAUUUUAAUGGCAGGACCUGAGCUACAGCCUCAGCUUUUGGUCAUUAAAAAAGUUUUUUUUUUUCAGAUAUAUUUGACUGACAUGGGUGAUUAUGGCCAAAAAUAAAUAUAUAAAUCAUCACCUGUUGGCCAACCUUUUGAUGAAGAGCACUUGGGUUUAGUCAGUCUGAGACUGAACCCCCAUCCAAAACCUUUUCCAUCUUGAAGGGAGCUAUUUGCCAGAGCUUGCACUUUUCUGGCAAAUGCUUCUAGAACUCAGGCUUAUUCCUCACUCCCUAAAAAAGUCAUGGAAGGAUAGAUUCAGUAGAAGAUCUAUAAAUCAAAGAUCCAUCUGUAGAAAUAAUCCUUAGAUAGAGAAGAUAAAGUAGGGGAAAACAGACUGCCCAGAACCUUGAGUAAAAAACUCAAAAUUAUUAAUGACUUUCAUUGUGGCUAUAGGGAAGUAAUUUAGCCCAUCUGGAUCCUGAAUGAAAUGGAGAGCAGCUUUUUAUUUUGUUAUAACUUUUCAGAUUCCUGAAGUAUAUAAUCAGUGAUACUGAAACUGUUGAUGUGAUUGUGCAAGUUAUUUUACCUCCCUCUGCCCAGCCUGCUCCUUGGAAGGAGUCUUGGGCACUAAAUAGACAAGCCUUAUUUGAGAUCUGUUUCCAAAAGGCGAUUAUUUGCAUUCCCAUCAACUACUUAGAAUGAAUCCAUGAUUUAUUACUAUUUUUUUUUCAUCUUGCACUUUGCAUGAGAUUCUCCUAACGCAGCAGAUGUUUGUAGGGAGAGAAAUUGUGGCAUUAUUAUCUACUUCUGGCAAAAUUGAGUGUGGCAGAACAGGAAAUGGUUAGUUUAAACCUAAAGUAUUCCUGCAGCACAUAUGUCACCCAUCUUUAUUACGUACAGUUGUUUUCUGCCAUAGGUUUUAGUGAGAUGCUAUAAAGAAUUUUCUGAAAAAUUCCCUACCUUGAACACAGACCUAUUUCUCAUCACUGUCAGAACUCAUGAAGCAUGGAGUCAUGUCUUAGAGAUUUCUGCCCCUAUUUCAGCAGUAUUUGUGAAUUGUGUAAAAUGCAGUUAUUAGGAACAGCAUUGAAUAGUAUGUAUUGCACUGGGUCUGAAGUGACCAACUGGGUUCAGAUUUUACCUGUGUGACAAGUCCUUUCACUCUUGUGAGUCUCAGGCAACUUUUUAAGUUCUAUUUACUAUGUUACAGACCAGUUUUGUAUUGAUUUAUAAGGCCAGAUAUCUGGCCCUAUUGGGUAUUGGAAAAUUUGAACACAUUGUUGCACCCUUAGGAGUACAAGUAGGUUUGGGGGUAGGGGAAGACGGCCACCUGCAACCUCAAGGAGAACAAGGAGACUUGUUAAAUAUGCAGGUACAGAACUCAACUACAGUCUGUUGAUUGUUCAGAAUCAGGGAAGCUACUGACUUUUUUGCAGAUUGUUGGA
rnacentral:lncRNA from 1 species